UCUUAGCGGAGGGCUCAGAAAUAUGGGGAGAUACAGCCCGAGGACUUCCAGGCCAGCCCGGGGAGCAGAGGGUGUGAGACGGUCAGAGGGCUGCAUGCACAAUGGGUGGUGGAAGGUCCAGGGACAGAUAAUGGACAUGUAGGAAGAGGUUGACCUUCAUGGAAGGCAGGUGCAGGAAGUGGAACUUCCAUGGGUGGGAUGGAUGAUUGGGUUGAAAGAUUGGCUUCAGAACCAUCCAGCUAACCAUAGUAGAACCUAAAGAUGCUGGAUGAAAAUCGGUUGGUCCCACUCAUAUUGCAUUGGAUGACUCUUUGGGGAAACAUGACCUUCUCUGUUAACUGUGUUUUGAUGAAUUCUUUCCUUUAUUGCAUGUUUGUCUGCAGAACACUCACCCUGAGCCAGAUCCUGCUCCAGGCCUUAGGGGCACAUAAGUGGAUAAAACAAGACUUACCUGCUUUCUCAAGAUGUGGAUUCCAAGAGGGAAGUAGAUAUGUAAAUAAAAGAAUUCACAGAACAGAAGUCGUCACAGGAAGCACCUUCUGCACUAUGAGGGUGCAGAGAGGGUGGUCUGCCUUCGACAGGGGGCUCACCCCACAUCUCAGGAGGGCAGAGUGAGAAGCUCACCAUUUGCUGGGAUGG
ensembl:lncRNA